rnacentral:other from 1 species
GGUUGCCUGCCUUGUUUGUGAUAGGAAUGGAAACUUUUUCCGACAUUCGAGAAUUAGGGAGUCAGAGCUUAUCAAGUGUUGUGCGCCCUGUUCAUUCAGGGAUUAUGCCUGAUCUUGUAUGCAAGACACCCACCUGUAUUAACAGGGAUUCAAGUUUACAUACCACACGGCAAGGUGGGUCUCUU